CACGUAGGCACCAAGCGUUGUCCGGAUUUAUUGGGCGUAAAGAGCUCGUAGGCGGUUCAGUAAGUCGGGUGUGAAACUCUGGGCUCAACCCAGAGAUGCCACCCGAUACUGCUGUGACUUGAGUACGGUAGGGGAGCAGGGAAUUCCUGGUGUAGCGGUGAAAUGCGCAGAUAUCAGGAGGAACACCGGUGGCGAAGGCGCUGCUCUGGCCGAAACUGACGCUGAGGAGCGAAAGCGUGGGGAGCGAACAGG
rnacentral:rRNA from 1 species